ACUAGACCCUCAGGAACGUCAGCGCCGUUUCAACCAACUUUUAUGUAUUUAUUGUGGACAGCCAAGUCAUUUCAUUGCCACCUGCUCUAUAAAACCAAAAGACUGGGCUCACCACGACCCAAGAGCGCCGUGCUAAGCCAAACCAACACCUCUCCCAGCUCUCCUUCCCGUAUGACUGUUCCCUCGUGUAUCCUUGGCCCUGAUCGCAAUACCCCUGCCAGUUUGUUGUGGAGGUUGACGCCUCCGACACUGGGGCGGGGCCAUCCUCACCCAGCGGGACCCCGAAUCCCAGAAAUUGCAUUCUUGUGCCUUCUUUUCCCGUCGCCUGUCCCCAUCUGAAAGGAAUUACUACGUGGGGAAUCGUGAGCUGCUGGCCAUCGUCUGGGCCUGGGAAUAAUGGAGGCAUUGGCUUGAGGGGACCGUUUCGCCUUUUGUUAUAUGGAUCGAUCACAAAAAUCUCACCUAUCUCCGUUCCGGCAAACGUUUGAACCCCCGACAAGCUCACUGGGCUUUAUUUCUCAGCCGUUUCAACUUCAGCCUCUCCUUCCACCCUGGUUCCCACAACAGCAAGCCUGACGCCCUCUCUCGCAAUUAUUUACCCCCCUCAGAAGGUAACACCAUCAUUCUAACCAUCAAUGAUCAUUUCUACAAGUGUGUCCAUUACAUACCCUUUCCCAAGUUGCCUUCUACCUUUCAGACCACUAACCUCCUUGUCCUGCAUGUAUUUAAAAUAUACGGCAUCCCCAUUGACAUCGUCUCGGACCGAGGUCCUCAGUUCUCCUCCCAGGUAUGGAAGGACUAAUGUAAAGCGACGGGUUACUCUAUCCACCGCAAGGGCUACCAGACGUGACGUUGCAAUUAACAAACACAGUGCGCUACACUCUAUGCGCAAUGGCGAGCAACGUGUCGGAAUAUGAGGAGGAUUUCGACGUACAGGAGCACCCACUGAACUUGCCAUCAUCAAACCGUACAUGUUUGAGCCGAUCAGGAGCUCAGAACCUGACGGUGACGACGACGAGCAGCCAAGUAGCAGCUGUACAACAGAAAAAGAGAGGCCAUUGGGUCGAUGUGACGGCGCACUCUGUCAUGGUCUACCGCCGUGCCUGGCUCCAGAGGGGGGGCCCCGGUGACCCGCGUCCGGGCGAGGGAAAACGGGGUCCAAUAUUUGUACUCAUCAUAAGGGGUCUUUGAGCGUGCUUUGUCUGGUCCCUCACCUAGGAUCCCGUGUGCCAUGGGUGACCUGACCAGGGGCUUAAAGCCCCAGACAACUUAGCUCUUAGCAUCAUUGGGACACACAAACCCCUCCACCACAAUAAGGUGACGACGACUCCAGCAAGUCGGGAGAAUAUUAUAUGGACUUCCGAGAUGAAAGUGGAGCUUUUUGGAAGGUGUGUGUCUGGUUACAUCUGGCGUAAAUGUAGCACAGCAUUUCAGAAAAAGAACAUCAUACCAAGAGUCAAACAUGGUGGUGGUAGUGUGAUGGUCUUGGGCUGCUUUGCUCCUUCAGGACCUGGACAACAACCUGUGAUUGAUGGAACCAUGAAUUCUGCUCUUUAAUAGAAAAUCCUAAAGGCGAAUGUUCAGCCAUCAGUUUGUGACCUCAAACUGAAGCGCAGGAUAAUGAUCCAAAACACACCAGUCAAGUCAACUUUGGAAUGGCUUAAAAAAAACUAAAUGAAGGUUUUGGAUUGGCCUAGUCAAAGUCCAGACUUGAAUCUGAUUGAAAUGCAGUUGGUAUUGACCUUAAGGUGGUGGUUCAUACUCGAAAACCUUCAUUUUUUGCUGAGUUCAAACAAUUCUGCAAGGAAGAGUGGGCCAAAAUAUCUCCACAGAGAUGUGAAAGACUCACUGCCAGUUAUGAAAAACGCUUGAUUUCAGUUGUUGCUGCUGAGGAUGGCCCAUCCAGUUAUUAGGUUUAGUGGCCCAAUCCAUUCCCACUCAUAAAUAUCUAGACUGUCUAAAUAUUGUUCUGCUGUGAUUCGUAUCCCUAUUCCCCUUGUCCGUUCUCUCCCUAUGUCUGUCCCCUAAAACCCUUUUUCUGUCCAGGUGUAGUUUCAGUAAACAUCAGAAUAAUUUAAAAAAUAAGCAGAGGGCGGAUCUCCUGCUGUACAGCAAAACUGUUCCGGGCAGAAAAGGCCUACAGAUCCACCAUUCUGCAUGGCCAAAAAGAGAGAGAGAGAGGGAAAAAAGGAAAGAAAAGUGAAGACCAAUUCAUCCGCAUGAUUUGACAGCCACCCCUUUGCGACAUUACAGAGAAACACUACAUGGGCAGUGUAAUGAAAGCAAAACUAUGACAGGAUCAUGACACUCAACUCAUUAUAUCAGGUGAGAUUGAUUUUUUUCUCUCCCUUCAUGAAUGUCAUUGUCUUCUUGUUCACUCAUCCUCCUUGGUAAAUAUCAAUGGCUUAUUUUAUCCAAAUCUAUCUAUCUGAUGUGAGCUGGCUGACUAGUAUGUUGAAGUCUUCCUUUUGCAACAAGAGGAGCAAAAUAAUACAGCAGUUAUUGGAAUUGGGCAAGCUAACAAAUUUAAAAUUGAUCUUUGUUUUCCAUAGAAAGAAAAAAAGCGGUUGCAAAGAAGUGCCGUUCCCCCACAGAUAUACAGUCACAGUAUUGCAUCUUUUGCCUCGGUGUCGUUUCUUUUUCCACAAGCAAAUGACCAAGGGCUGACGACGCCAGUGCCAACUGCAACUUCUCAACAGAAAUUAGUCUGUGGUAGCGUGAGUGAAAGUAAAGGCGAUGUGCCUUAUUUACCACCAAACUUCGACCCCGGAAGUCCUGGCUACAUUUUUGGGAACGCGGAACAACACUGACUACCGCCGCCGCUGGUAUGGAGGGGUAUGUAGUACUUGGCGUCACAGUCAACUCUUUGCGGUCUGUGAACCGUCACUUUUACGACCCGACAUGCCGACGUUUAGGCCAACACGGAAGUCAGAUGAACAUUGUAACGUUGUCUGACCGUUGGCUUGGUGUAUCAAGGCCUUCAUAAAGAGUCACCACAGGAAAGUUUUCAUUGUGGGUAUUAUCAGCUUUUUGCACACUCUGAGAGUUAAAGUUGUUGGGAUGGGGUUGUGGGGUUUUUUAUGGUGUCCACACAGUCAACAGACACGCAAACACCAAAGGCAUGAAAAAGGUGACCAAAAAAAAAAAAACAUUGUAGGGGAGUCUGGGGGAAUCCUCCGGGCCCCCGCAGAGAAUCUUCUUGAUUUUAACAUAAAUUAAGUAAUCUGGAAGGCCAAAUAAGGCAAAAUACAGUUUUGUUCAAGCAGAAAAACAUUUAUUUACACCGCUCAAGCACAUGUUGAUGUACAAAUUUAAGAUUGAAUUAAAUUUGCCUCAUUUCUUUGCUUCUUUUUGUUUUGGCCUCCGAGAACUUGAGCCAGACCCAUUACAACCUGCACCUGAUGCCUGCUUCAAGCUGUGCCACAUGAAUAGCAUCCUCCUCUCUAAGCACUCAUUCUGGAAAAGAAUGGACUAAAAUCAUUGUCUGUUUCAAUUCAUUUUUCACGAUUACCAGUUUCAAAGCCUAACCCCAAUUGCAUCCUCCAGCAGAAGCGGGGGAAGUGUUUUUUCUGGCCUCGUCAACUCCCGUGAUUUAUCCAAAGCCGGUCCAGAGCGCACAGGCGGAACCUCAGACCGAUGCCUAUUAGUUCGCUGCAGAGUAGUAUGCAGAAAUGACAUCUGUGUGUGGAUGGUGGAUGUGUGGAUUGGAUCUAGCUGCCAGCGUUCAAGGAGUACGAGUAUGACAACGACGGCGGUAGCGACCCCCCCCGCCACACACCCAGGAGAAACUCAUGAGAUCUGUACGAUUCAUGUAAAUGACCCAUUUUGAGUUGAAAACAGCAAAUUUCGCCGAAAGGCGACUGAUUUUCAUGUAUGAGUCAUCCACCCAUCCAUUUUCUGAGCCGCUUAUCUUCACAAGGGUCGCGGGCGUGCUGGAGCCUAUCCCAGCUAUCAUCGGCCAAGAGGCGGGGUACACCCUGAACUGGUUGCCAGCCAAUCACAUACAAACAAACAAACAACCAUUCGCACUCACAUUCACACCUACGGGCAAUUUAGAGUUGUCAAUUAACCUACCGUACAUGUGUUUGGGAUGUGGGAGGAAACUGGAGUGCCCGGAGAAAACUCACGCAGGCACGGGGACAACAUGCAAACUCCACACAGGCGGGGCCGGCCGGGGAUUGAACCCCGGUCCUCAGAACUGUGCGGCAGACGCUCUAACCAGUCGCCCAACGGGCCGCUAUGUAUGAGUCAAUGUACCACAAUAACAAUAAUAUGAAUAAAUACAUCAGAACAUUUAUUGGGAGUACUGUCAGAUCCAGGGGAACCCUAGCACCUAUGAGCGCCAAGCAAAUCCACCAGUGUCUUUCAUGAGCGCUGCUGCGAAAAAGGAACACCCCCGUCCUCGUGGAUGUUUUCAUUGUAUUUAAGAGCUUCUCCUUGCCACUGUAACCUCUUCCACUGUGUUGUCAUGACAACCUGCCAUACUCUGUUUAAGUGUGCGUGUGUGC